GGGACAGGCUGGGAGCCUGGAGUGAUCUCCAUUCCAAGCCUAGAUUGAAACCAGAAACCCAGAGGAACUCAAGGAUGAUUUUCAAUUCCCCAACUCGUUCAGCCUAAAAGCAACCACCAUGGAAAUAACACCUAUUGCUAAUUCUUGUUCUAAAACAUGGAGCUGCCUUGAUAAAACAGCAGAUGGAAAAGAUAGGUACAGAUCAACUUCCUGCAUACACCCUUUUCUCAAUUCACCGAGACCAGAAUUUCCAAGGAACAUCCGGAAAUCCAGACAUUUCCUUUGAUUGUCACAGCUGUGAUACAAAUGAGGUCAUCAAGGCACAGAGAGUUGUAUCAAUCUACCAGGAUCAUUUGGAAGAUUGAACAGUUUGACUCCAUGUGUGAAGAAGAAGGUGGAUAGAACAGAUGCCUUGCAUCUGAUGAGAUGCUUGGGAAGACUUUGGUGGGCUGGAUGCUUUUCUUUUCUCAGUACAAAUUGCAAAAUAUAUAUAGGAAAGUAUUUAAAAUAUGUAUGACUUCUAGAGAAUAAUAAUAAAGUGAACAUACAUAUUACCAUUACUCAAAAUGAGAAUAAAGACUAUUGUCAUAAUCUA